rnacentral:rRNA from 1 species
AGUGAACGCUGGCGGUAGGCCUAACACAUGCAAGUCGAACGGCAGCACAGUAAGAGCUUGCUCUUACGGGUGGCGAGUGGCGGACGGGUGAGGAAUACAUCGGAAUCUACUUUUUCGUGGGGGAUAACGUAGGGAAACUUACGCUAAUACCGCAUACGACCUACGGGUGAAAGCAGGGGAUCUUCGGACCUUGCGCGAUUGAAUGAGCCGAUGUCGGAUUAGCUAGUUGGCGGGGUAAAGGCCCACCAAGGCGACGAUCCGUAGCUGGUCUGAGAGGAUGAUCAGCCACACUGGAACUGAGACACGGUCCAGACUCCUACGGGAGGCAGCAGUGGGGAAUAUUGGACAAUGGGCGCAAGCCUGAUCCAGCCAUACCGCGUGGGUGAAGAAGGCCUUCGGGUUAUAAAGCCCUUUUGUUGGGAAAGAAAAGCAGCAGGUUAAUACCCCGCUGUUCCGACGGUACCCAAAGAAUAAGCACCGGCUAACUUCGUG